CCUACGGGUGGCAGCAGUGAGGAAUAUUGGUCAAUGGGCGUAAGCCUGAACCAGCCAAGUCGCGUGAAGGAUGAAGGCCCUAUGGGUUGUAAACUUCUUUUAUAAGGGAAUAAAGUGAGGGACGUGUGCCGUUUUGUAUGUACCUUAUGAAUAAGGAUCGGCUAACUCCGUGCCAGCAGCCGCGGUAAUACGGAGGAUCCGAGCGUUAUCCGGAUUUAUUGGGUUUAAAGGGUGCGUAGGUGGGCUUUUAAGUCAGCGGUGAAAGGCUGUGGCUCAACCUUAGAAUUGCCAUUGAUACUGGCAGGCUUGAGUAUGUUUGAGGUAGGCGGAAUGCGUGGUGUAGCGGUGAAAUGCUUAGAUAUCACGCAGAACCCCGAUUGCGAAGGCAGCUUACCAAGCCGUGACUGACGCUGAUGCACGAAAGCGUGGGUAUCAAACAGGAUUAGAUACCCGUGUAGUC
rnacentral:rRNA from 1 species